rnacentral:rRNA from 1 species
AUUGAACGCUGGCGGCAGGCCUAACACAUGCAAGUCGAGCGGAUGAAGGGAGCUUGCUCCUGGAUUCAGCGGCGGACGGGUGAGUAAUGCCUAGGAAUCUGCCUGGUAGUGGGGGAUAACGUCCGGAAACGGGCGCUAAUACCGCAUACGUCCUGAGGGAGAAAGUGGGGGAUCUUCGGACCUCACGCUAUCAGAUGAGCCUAGGUCGGAUUAGCUAGUUGGUGGGGUAAAGGCCUACCAAGGCGACGAUCCGUAACUGGUCUGAGAGGAUGAUCAGUCACACGGGAACUGAGACACGUUCCAGACCCCUACGGGAGGCAGCAGUGGGGAAUAUUGGACAAUGGGCGAAAGCCUGAUCCAGCCAUGCCGCGUGGGUGAAGAAGGUCUUCGGAUUGUAAAGCACUUUAAGUUGGGAGGAAGUGCAGUAAGUUAAUACCUUGCUGUUUUGACGUUACCAACAGAAUAAGCACCGGCUAACUUCGU